GGGGUACAUGUGUGAAACCCUCUCAGCUCUUAACAGGACUCACCAUGCAGAUCUGAUGGCUUUAAGGCCUGACUCAAUGCCCACUGAAGUCAGACAGAUUCCCAUUGACUUUAAUGGAUGCUGGAUCAUGCCCUUAGUUGGCAAGAGAUGCGUAUACGGAUAUCAGUAAAAUCAGAUGUUUUAUUUGAUAAGUGGGGAAGUCAGAACAGGAGGAUGAGAGGAAAGAGUGUCCAACAACUAGAAAGGAUUCUCAUGUUUAUAAGCUUGCUCACAGAUCUGUGGACCAGGAAAAGAAUCAUCUUCAUCAGGAAAAUGUGUUAAUAAUGUAUACACACAUUAUUAACUGAAGUUAUUUUCAUUUCUUGCCCUGGAGUCAUCAUUAGUGAAGAUUAAACAU